UGUUUAUUUACCGCAGGGAAAAUGAGGGGCUUUUGGGGGCAGUUGUGUUUCAGUUUCACUAUCAUAAUGCCCCUAAAAAUCCUUAUUGCUCUUGCAGUUAUC
ensembl:miRNA mir365-1 microRNA 365a